rnacentral:rRNA from 1 species
GUGAGGAAUAUUGCGCAAUGGAGGCAACUCUGACGCAGCCAUGCCGCGUGCAGGAAGAAGGCGCUACGCGUUGUAAAGCCCUUUUGUACGGGAAGAAACCCCAGGACGUGUCCUGGGUUGACGGUACCGGAGGAAUAAGCACCGGCUAACUUCGUGCCAGCAGCCGCGGUAAUACGAAGGGUGCAAGCGUUAUCCGGAUUCAUUGGGUUUAAAGGGUGCGCAGGCGGAGCGUUAAGUCAGUGGUGAAAUCCUGCAGCUUAACUGUAGACUUGCCGUUGAUACUGGCGCUCUUGAGUGCGCUUGAAGUGGGCGGAAUGUGCCGUGUAGCGGUGAAAUGCUUAGAUAUGGCACAGAACACCAAUUGCGAAGGCAGCUCACUAAGGCGAUACUGACGCUGAGGCACGAAAGCGUGGGGAUCGAACAGGAUUAGAAACCCUUGUAGUCC